UUUCCUGCAAAUUACAUUAAAAGAGAUUAGAUGAGAAGGACAUAGCAUGUCUAACGUGCAAGACCAUGUUACUUGGACCUCUGGGGGAGAGAGGGGUGAUUCUUGAUUUUGCUUCACUAACAAAUUGUAAUGAGAAUCUUUUUUCAUCUUUCAGUAACAAAUUCCAAGUCCUUUAAAAAAAAAUGGAAAACAGGCCAAAUGCUUCCAAAUAAGUAUAAAUCUCAACUGAAUAUAAGCACUAUUGCAAGGAAGCCACCAGGAUGUCUCCACAUUAAUUUUGUGUGCAGCCACACUCUGUUCUGUCCAUCUUCUGAAUAACGUAAAGGUAACCAAGAGUCCCCUGCCCCAUCAGUUCUUACCUGGUUAAACAAGUCAAUAAUGUUUUCAAGCAUCUUAGCAGCUUUUCUUUUCUUUUCCUCCAGUUGUUCUGAUUGUUUUAUCUUCAUUUCAACAGCUGUACUAAACAAUGCCUGCAGCAAAAGCAUACAAAAUCAUUCUCAAAACACUAUCCAAGCCCUAAUCAUAAGUUCUAUUAUUCUACCCAGCCCACUUUUCCGUCUUAGUCAAUCUGGAGAAAAUGAGGGGAAAAAUAGUGGGAGCCUUAAAAUGUAUGAAAUUAAUGUAAGAUCACAUGAGAACUCAAAGAUAGUACCAGGGAAAAAAUUUUUAUUGUGGAUUAUAUAACUGGUAAUAAAAAUUUAAACAUGUGAUUACAAAGAAAAUACCACCGUGACAAGAGGUGAACACACACAAUGAGUUCAGGUUUUCCCUUCAACCAGCUAAAUCAUUUCUGUGCAACCAGGUUACUUAGAGCCUGUCUGUAUUCUUUUUACUUUGAAGGAUAUAAUUCACUGCAGCUAAUACAGUUUUAUUCUAAAACUUAAAGGUAUGAGCUAGGCAAAAUUAGAGAGUUCACAAUAUUUAUCAAAAUAUGGCGAAUAGUGCCAUGGAUACUUAUUACAAUAUAUAAUAUAGAUGCUUCUCAAGAGUCUCAUCUCAUUGGGAAACACCCAUUUUUUUUUUUUUUUUACUGCCUUCAAGAGGCCUAAAACUAAGCAAGAUUAGCAUACUAUGCUCAACUACUUGAUAAAAUACAUUUUUCUUGA